UGGGGAAUAUUGCACAAUGGGCGCAAGCCUGAUGCAGCCAUGCCGCGUGUAUGAAGAAGGCCUUCGGGUUGUAAAGUACUUUCAGCGGGGAGGAAGGCGAUAAGGUUAAUAACCUUGUCGAUUGACGUUACCUGCAGAAGAAGCACCGGCUAACUCCGUGUCAGCAGCCGCGGUAAUACGGAGGGUGCAAGCGUUAAUCGGAAUUACUGGGCGUAAAGCGCACGCAGGCGGUCUGUCAAGUCGGAUGUGAAAUCCCCGGGCUCAACCUGGGAACUGCAUUCGAAACUGGCAGGCUAGAGUCUUGUAGAGGGGGGUAGAAUUCCAGGUGUAGCGGUGAAAUGCGUAGAGAUCUGGAGGAAUACCGGUGGCGAAGGCGGCCCCCUGGACAAAGACUGACGCUCAGGUGCGAAAGCGUGGGGAGCAAACA
rnacentral:rRNA from 1 species